CAAAGAGUAGUUUAACGCUAGAAUCCUGGCUUUGGGAGUCAGGGGUGGGAGUUGAAAUCUCUCUUCUUUGA
ensembl:Mt_tRNA